GCCUUCAUGGUGUAGUGGUCAGCACGCUGUUUCUCAUAUUCCAGAGGUCCGUGGUUCGAGUCCCGGCGAAGACG
rnacentral:tRNA from 1 species